UGCGUAGGCGGCUCGUUAAGUCAGGGGUGAAAGGCUGUAGCUCAACUACAGAAUUGCCUUUGAUACUGACAGGCUUGAAAUAAAUUGAGGUUGGCGGAAUGUGACAUGUAGCGGUGAAAUGCAUAGAUAUGCCAUAGAACACCAAUUGCGAAGGCAGCUGACUAGAUUUUAUUUGACGCUGAGGCACGAAAGCGUGGGGAGCGAACAGGAUUAGAUACCCUGGUAGUCC
rnacentral:rRNA from 1 species